rnacentral:rRNA from 1 species
AGCAGUCGCCGCGGUAAUACGUAGGGUGCAAGCGUUAAUCGGAAUUACUGGGCGUAAAGCGUGCGCAGGCGGUUCGUUAAGACAGAUGUGAAAUCCCCGGGCUUAACCUGGGAACUGCAUUUGUGACUGGCGGGCUAGAGUAUGGCAGAGGGGGGUAGAAUUCCACGUGUAGCAGUGAAAUGCGUAGGGAUGUGGAGGAAUACCGAUGGCGAAGGCAGCCCCCUGGGCCAAUACUGACGCUCAUGCACGAAAGCGUGGGGAGCAAACAGGAUUAGAUACCCCUGUAGUCCCUGUCUCUUAUAC